rnacentral:rRNA from 1 species
CUCAGGAUGAACGCUAGCGGCAGGCCUAACACAUGCAAGUCGAGGGGCAUCACGGAAAAGCUUGCUUUUCUGGUGGCGACCGGCGCACGGGUGCGGAACGCGUAUGGAACCUGCCCCUGUCAGGGGAAUAGCCCAGGGAAACUUGGAUUAAUGCCCCAUGGCACCGCGAUAUCGCAUGAUAUUGUGGUUAAAGAUUUAUCGGACAGGGAUGGCCAUGCGUACCAUUAGUUAGUUGGUGGGGUAACGGCUCACCAAGGCAGCGAUGGUUAGGGGCCCUGAGAGGGGGAUCCCCCACACUGGUACUGAGACACGGACCAGACUCCUACGGGAGGCAGCAGUGAGGAAUAUUGGACAAUGGGCGGGAGCCUGAUCCAGCCAUGCCGCGUGCAGGAUGACGGCCCUAUGGGUUGUAAACUGCUUUUACACGGGAAGAAACCUCCCCUUGCGAGGGGAGCUGACGGUACCGUGAGAAUAAGGACCGGCUAACUCCGUGCCAGCAGCCGCGGUAAUACGGAGGGUCCGAGCGUUAUCCGGAAUCAUUGGGUUUAAAGGGUCCGUAGGCGGGCCGUUAAGUCAGGGGUGAAAGUCUGCGGCUCAACCGUAGAAUUGCCUUUGAUACUGGCGGUCUUGAGUCAUGGUGGGGUUGCCGGAACAUGUGGUGUAGCGGUGAAAUGCAUAGAUAUCACAUAGAACACCGAUCGCGAAGGCAGGUGACCAACCAUGUACUGACGCUGAUGGACGAAAGCGUGGGUAGCGAACGGGAUUAGAUACCCCGGUAGUCCACGCCGUAAACGAUGGAUACUAGCUGUGGGGACCUCGGUCUCCGUGGCCAAGCGAAAGUGAUAAGUAUCCCAC